rnacentral:ncRNA from 1 species
CCCACUGAAUUUAAGCAUAUCAAUAAGUGGAGGAAAAGAAACUUACAAAGAUUCCCUUAGUAACAAUGAGUGAACCAAGAAAAGCCUAGCUUGAGAAUUGGGCACCCGAAUUUUAGUCUAGAGAAGCGUCUUCUGUGGUAGAUCGGGCCUAAAUCCCCUAAAAAUAGGCACCAAAGAGGGUGAGAGCCCCGUCAUGCCCAGACCCUAUCGCACUAGAAGGUGCUAUCUACUAGUUGAGUUGUUUGGGAAUGCAACCCUAAUCGGGCGGUAAAUUUUGUCCAAGGCUAAAUACAGGCAAGAAACCAAUAGCAAACAAGUACAGUGAGGGAAAGAUGAAAAUAAAUUUGAAAGAAAAGUCAAAGAAUGCUUGAAAUUGUCAAGAGGGAAGUGGACAGAGGCCGAUGAUGUGCCCUGAUUGGACGUGGAAUGGAAAAAGCCAAUCAGCCGAUCGGCUCGAGGCGUGGACCAAUGAAGGUUGUGGCAGUGGCUCAAACUUGGGCCUUUGAUAUACUUGUGGAGACGUCGUCACCCCGAUCGUGGGAUCUGACAUGCCCCGUCUCGAUGUGCUUCGACAUUUGUGUACUUCGGACGUCGACCUACGGACUCCUUAUUCGGCCCUUCUUGAAACAUGGACCAAGGAGUCUAACAUGUGUCAAAGUCAAUAGGCUAGAAAACUCGUAAGGCGAAAGAAAGCUAAUUGGAAGGAUCCCUCGCAAGUUCACCACUGAUUGACCUUGAUCUUUUGAAAAGGGUUCGAGUGAAAGCAUGUCUGUCAGGACCCGAAAGAUGGUAAACUAUGCCUAAGUAGGGAAAAGCCAGAGGAAACUCUAGUGGAGGCCCACAGCGAUACUGACGUGUAAAACAUUCGUCUGACUUGGGUAUAAGGACAAAAGACUAAUCAAACCAUCUAAUAGUUUGUUCCUUCUGAAGUUUCCUUUAAGAUAGCUAGAGGCCUUAGCAAGUUCUAUCGGGUAAAGCCAACGAUUAGAGGAAUCAGGGGCACAACGCCCUCGACCUAUUCUCAAAAUUUAAAUAGGUAGGAUGGCGCGGCUGCUUCAUUGAGCCACGCCACAAAAUUGAGAGCUCCAAGUGGGAAAUUUUUGGUAAGUAGAAUUGGUAAUGUGGGAUGAACCGAAAGUCGGGCUAUGGUGCCCAACUGUGCACUAACCUAAAACUUACAAAGGGUAUUGGUCGAUUAAGAUAACAAGAUGGUUGUCCUGAAAGUCAAAAUCACUAAGGAGUGUGUAACAACUCACCAGUCGAAUCAAUUAGCCCCAAAGAUGGUUGGAACUUAAUAGCAUGACCUUUACCUAGUCGUCGGGGCAAGGGCCAGGCGCCGAUGAGUAGUAGGCCACGACAGUCAUCAUAAAACUUGAGGCACAAGCCAAGGCGGUGCGACCAUUAGUGCAGAUCUUGGUGGUAGUAGCAAAUAUUCAAAUGAGAACUCUGAAGGCCGAAGAGGGGAAGGUUUCCAUCUGAAUGGUACCUACACAUAGGUUAGUCGAUCCUAAGAGACGAGGGAAGCUUGUCUAAUAGCACGUCUAGUGCGAGCUUCGACCGAGAAUCGGGUUAAAAUUUCUGAACUGGACGCGGUGGCUAAUGGCAAUGCUAGGGAGUCUGGAGACAACGAUGGGGGCCUCUGGAAGAGUCCUCCUUUUUGUUUAACAGCCUACCCAUCCUGGAAAUAGCUUAGCCGAAGGUAGGGUCUAGUGGCCGGAAGAGCACUGCACGUUGCCUGAUCUCUGGUGCGCCUUUGGCAGCCAAUGAAAAUGUAGAGGAUCGAGUGCCGCUUAUGCCUGGUUGUAGUCAUAACCGCAUCAGGUCUCUAGGGUGAACAACCUCUAGUC